GACGAACGCUGGCGGCGCGCCUAACACAUGCAAGUCGAACGAGCGAGACAGAGCUUGCUUUCACAAGCGAGUGGCGAACGGGUGUGUAACGCGUGUGGAAUCUGCCUCAAAGAGGGGGACAACAGGUGGAAACGACUGCUAAUACCGCAUAAGCUCACGACCCGUCAUCGGGGAGGGGGAAAUUGGGCAAUGCGCGUUGAGAUGGCCUCGCGUCCGAUUGGCUAGUUGGUGAGGUAACGGCCCACCAAGGCGACGAUCGGUAGCCGGACUGAGAGGGUGAACGGCCACAUUGGGACUGAGACACGGCCCAGACUCCUACGAGAGGCAGCAGUGGGGAAUAUUGCACAAUGGGGGAAACCCUGAUGCAGCGACGCCGCGUGGAGGAAGAAGGUCUUCGGAUUGUAAACUGCUGUUGUUGAGGAAGAUAAUGACGGUACUCAACAAGGAAGUGACGGCUAACUACGUG
rnacentral:rRNA from 1 species